rnacentral:rRNA from 1 species
AGUGAACGCUGGCGGUAGGCCUAACACAUGCAAGUCGAACGGCAGCACAGUAAGAGCUUGCUCUUACGGGUGGCGAGUGGCGGACAGGUGAGGAAUACAUCGGAAUCUACUUUUUCGUGGGGGAUAACGUAGGGAAACUUACGCUAAUACCGCAUACGACCUACGGGUGAAAGCAUGGGAUCUUCGGACCUUGCGCGAUUGAAUGAGCCGAUGUCGGAUUAGCUAGUUGGCGGGGUAAAGGCCCACCAAGGCGACGAUCCGUAGCUGGUCUGAGAGGAUGAUCAGCCACACUGGAACUGAGACACGGUCCAGACUCCUACGGGAGGCAGCAGUGGGGAAUAUUGGACAAUGGGCGCAAGCCUGAUCCAGCCAUACCGCGUGUGUGAAGAAGGCCUUCGGGUUGUAAAGCCCUUUUGUUGGGAAAGAAAAGCAGCAGGUUAAUACCCCGCUGUUCUGACGGUACCCAAAGAAUAAGCACCGGCUAACUUCGUG